rnacentral:rRNA from 1 species
AACGAACGCUGGCGGCAGGCCUAACACAUGCAAGUCGAGCGCGCCCUCCGGGGUGAGCGGCGGACGGGUGAGUAACGCGUGGGAACGUUCCCUUUUCUACGGAAUAGCCUCGGGAAACUGAGAGUAAUACCGUAUACGCCCUUUGGGGGAAAGAUUUAUCGGAAAAGGAUCGGCCCGCGUUGGAUUAGGUAGUUGGUGGGGUAAUGGCCUACCAAGCCGACGAUCCAUAGCUGGUUUGAGAGGAUGAUCAGCCACACUGGGACUGAGACACGGCCCAGACUCCUACGGGAGGCAGCAGUGGGGAAUCUUAGACAAUGGGGGCAACCCUGAUCUAGCCAUGCCGCGUGAGUGAUGAAGGCCUGAGGGUUGUAAAGCUCUUUCAGCUGGGAAGAUAAUGACGGUACCAGCAGAAGAAGCCCCGGCUAACUCCGUG